CCCACCCCUCUGGGAGCCUGGCUUUCUCUCCUGCCCCCUGCACUCGAGACCCAGCCGAGCACGGAGACUGCAGCCUUCAUGGACUGUGAGCGGGGUACAGGGUUGGUAGUACGCCAGGGUCCGAGGCCACGCGCUCUCCAAAAGAUCUCCAAGGUUGAGCGCGGGCUCAGAAUGUGGCCGGAAGAAGAGUCGCGGCGUCCCCGGUGAAGGUCCGGGGUUGCAAGGUAGGGAGCAGGCAGAUGGCCAGGCAAAGUUGAUCACAGAGAGGAAGGAGGUGGUUGGCCUGCGCCUUCGGGCCGCUGGGAACCGCCAAACUACUUGGACUUGACCCGCCGCGCCCCAGGCGCUCUAAGCAGCGCCUAUCAGUCGCCCUGCGCGGGAGCGCACUUGCAAACUUGGUGGAGGUGCCCUGCGCGUCCUGUUGUGUAACCUCCGCGCCGCCAGCUGGACCGGGAAGUUGCCCGCCCGUCCUUCAGCUUAGAUCGGUCGCAGCCCCGGGCGAAUUUCAUGGCCCGCGACAAACGCGCGGCCAGAGCCGGCGUGGGCGAGCCCCUGCGCGCUCCGACCCGUGGGGAACUCCCGCGCGCGGUCCCUGACCCGCGCCUCCGAUGCGCGCUGAGUCUCUCGCCGCUGCUGCCCGCUCGCCGCGGUCUGCCCUUUCUAGUAGCUGUCUGAGUUGGAAAGAAGAGGAUGACCGAGGUGCCUUGGUCGGCUGUCCCCAACGGGACGGAUGCUGCCUUUCUGGCUGGCCUGGGCUCGCUUUGGGGAAACAGUACUGUCGCCUCAACUGCAGCAGUUUCCUCUUCAUUCCAAUGUGCCCUGACCAAGACCGGUUUCCAGUUCUACUACCUGCCGGCCGUCUACAUUUUAGUGUUCAUCAUAGGCUUCCUAGGCAACAGCGUGGCUAUCUGGAUGUUCGUUUUCCACAUGAAGCCUUGGAGCGGCAUCUCCGUGUACAUGUUCAAUUUGGCUCUGGCUGACUUUUUAUACGUGCUCACCCUACCAGCCCUCAUCUUCUACUACUUCAACAAGACUGACUGGAUCUUCGGGGAUGCUAUGUGCAAGCUGCAGAGAUUCAUCUUCCACGUAAACCUCUACGGUAGCAUCUUGUUCCUCACCUGCAUCAGUGCACACAGGUACAGCGGCGUGGUGUACCCUCUCAAGUCUCUGGGCAGGCUCAAGAAGAAGAAUGCUAUUUAUGUCAGCGUGCUGGUGUGGCUCAUUGUGGUGGUGGCCAUCUCCCCUAUUCUCUUCUACUCUGGCACUGGGACUCGGAAAAACAAAACUGUCACCUGCUAUGACACCACGUCCAAUGAUUACCUGCGAAGUUAUUUCAUCUACAGUAUGUGCACGACUGUGGCCAUGUUCUGCAUCCCUUUGGUGCUGAUCUUGGGCUGUUAUGGAUUAAUUGUUAAAGCUUUGAUUUACAAUGACCUGGACAACUCUCCGCUCCGGAGGAAAUCCAUUUACCUGGUGAUAAUUGUCCUGACGGUGUUUGCUGUGUCUUACAUCCCUUUCCAUGUGAUGAAAACGAUGAAUUUGCGAGCACGGUUGGAUUUCCAGACCCCAGAAAUGUGUGAUUUCAACGACAGGGUUUAUGCCACUUAUCAGGUAACAAGAGGUCUAGCAAGUCUCAACAGCUGUGUGGACCCCAUUCUUUAUUUCUUGGCUGGAGACACAUUCAGAAGGAGACUGUCCCGAGCCACCAGGAAAGCUUCCAGGAGGAGUGAGGCCAAUUUACAAUCCAAGAGUGAAGAAAUGACUCUCAAUAUUUUAUCUGAAUUCAAGCAGAAUGGAGACACGAGUUUGUGAAGGCACGAGAUCCUAACUCCUGAGUUUUGUAACAUGGUAGGAUGCUCAUAGAACAAGAUGCUUUUCUUCCUAAGUUCCUAGUAAUGUAAGAGAAUUCUCCAAACAAGAAAGUCGUGAGUCUAAAAAUUAAGGAGCAUCAAUUUGAUGCACAUAUCUACAUUUAUUGUUCUUUCCUGUAAUCUCCUUUCUUACUGAAUAGAAGAAGUAUGUGUAAUAAACACUUCCCCUUCCUCCUUUUCAAUUCACAGGCUUUUUUUCUGUUGAGAGAGAGAGAGAAUGUGUAGCAGAGCAAUUUUGAUAUUAAAAAUGUCUCCAAAAAAACUGGCCACCUGGAACUUGAACCUGUGAUUUGUUCAGCCUGUGUUGCUUUGAAUAGCUCUUGGCAUAAACAAAAUAAAAUCUAUCCUUUAAACAAUUUGGCAUAGUAUAAUGAAAUGCUGGUUAGUCCAUUGAACAGUGAGCAGAUGCCUUGAUGUUCAUGUCUUUCAAUUCCUCAGAAGCAUACAUGGUGGCUGAUGUUAUCUGGGGAAUUGAAUAGAAAAAUAAAAUCAAUGAACUUUUCUGUGAGUAAAAGGAACAUUUCCAGUUAUUUCUGGAAAACUGAUUAAUAAACAUCACUUCUUAAAUGUUUGGUGGUGGGAGGCUGCAGAUAUCAUAUUAUUGCCAAGAUACGCUCAAAAUAAUUGAACUGCAUGUGUUUUUCUUAUAAAUACUGUGGACUCCUAGGCUUCCUGGGAUAAAUAGUUCUCACUUGCACCACUGCUGUGCAGUGUCUUAGGACUCUGUGUUCCAAGACAAGUGCUCCCUCACAUCUGUGAAAACAAUUUUGAGAAAUCCCAGUUAAAUUUUAGACUAAAGGGUGAAGGCAGCGGUGGAGCCCUUAGCAGAUUGUGGGGUAGUGGGCGGGACUGUGGAUGUUUCAGAAGGCCAGGCUUGACAGGGCCUUUCUGCAGCUGGAAAUGAGAAGAGUUCAAAAAGAAGGAUGUUAAACCAAAAAAUAAUGGCAGGGUUCUAUCUGUCUCUUCAGGGUUCUUCAAAAUAUUAAAUGCAGAAUGAAAGGGGAUGCAAGGAAAUCACUUAGGUGUUCCAUGAUGGUGGAAAGCUGUUAUCUGAUAACAAGGUUGCUUUGAACCUGCAUUGAACUAAAAUGAUAAAUUAAGAAGAAACUUAGCACAUGAGACAGAAUUCAAAACUAAAACUGUGAUGUGGCCACUGAGAAGAAACUCGGAAGCCCAUUCUUCAUGAAGAGGAAAAGUAACAGGACACCAUUUGUUGAUGCCGUAGGUGCUGUGGUAGAUCUUGGAAAGCAGUGAGAACUGUUUGGAAUCUGCUCCUCUGCUUCCUAGGACUCUCCAGUCUAGACUUUGCAUAAAGGUCUCAUUUUCCACCAGCUGUGGUAUGGAAAGGUUGAAACCUGUAAAUCUCUGCUCACUCAACCAGGACACUAACCCAUCUUGAUAUAACACAUACCAGUACUUAGUAGCAGCUAGAAUUCAACUAUUGACAGGACAUAGAAGAUGUGAUACUCGUAAAUAUGUAUUGAAGCUUUUCUUCUAUUGGUUGAAUGUAAUCAUUGUAAUAGUAUUUAUUGAAGAGGUUUGUGGGCCUUCAGUUGUACAGAUUGAAGAUACAAUGUACUAGUGUAAAUUCUAUUUAUUGCAGUGUAUAAUGUUCAAAUGUCACACGUAUAUUUUACAGUAAUAUAUAAUGCUAGAUAAAAUGAGAAUUUUAUUUAAGAGGUUUUUUUCAGAUAUUAGUAACUUUGAACUUUUAAGACCAGUUUGUAUUUGUAUCUAAAAUGAUGAAAAUGUGGUUUAUAACAAGUGUUUAAUUUUCUCUAGAUUUGAAUUUGCAUGCUUUCCUUUUGUGUGGGGUUCUUGCUAUACAGACAUGAUUUGGUGUUAGAUUAUUGUAAGAUUUAUAACAAGUAUAGGAUAUUUUAGACAGGUUAUAUAUUACAUACAUUAUAUGUGUAUAUUUACAUUAUAGAAAGUUUGUGUGGUCUUUUCAGAAAGUUUAGAAUAUUGCUCUAACUAUGGUUGCAGCGUCCACUGCCAAAGGCUAAAGGCUUGUCUCCUUUCAAAAUUGAUGAUUUAGAUGUCCAGUAGGUUGGGUGGUGUGGAUAUAAUGUGAGAAUUUAAAGACAAACUUUAGUGAUACAGGGAGAGAAAAGUGCAGCUGAUAGUUUUCUGCUAGAUCUUGAAGCUUUACAAUGUUUUUUUGUUUUUUGUUUUUUUUUUUUUUGUUUUCUUAAGGCAACAUAGUACAAUCUUUUGUGAGGUGAUUUUUUGUUUAUUUUGGUUUUUUUGGUUUUGUAACACUACCAAGAAAUUGAACAUUGCUAUUGAUUUUAAUCUGUUUUCUUUAGGCAGUUGGUAACUUUAAUGCCAACAUGUUAAGUGAUAACUAUGUCAUUUGGCUGCUUAAUUCUGUCAUUUUUUAAAUGAAGGUGAAUUUAUGUUACAUAUCAAAAUUUGUACAUUUGAGUAACAUUGUUUUAGUGCUUUUGCAAGAAAAAGUUUAUUUUUAUAACAUUUGUGAUUUUCCUGUAGAAGAUUGAAACAGAUAUCUGUAGUUAACAGUGCUAUUGAGUGGUAUGGAACAGUGUUACUUGGCAUUUUGAGCCUUCUCAGGUUUGUCUCAUCAGUGGUAGCUUAACAACCUCUGGAUUGAUUGUGUAUAAUUGUCUUUGUAUUCAAAAGAGGUUCAUGUCCUGUAAAAGCACAGUAUUGUUUGACUGGAGGGAGCUGCAGAUUCGCCCAUGUUUCUGUGACUUUGCUCGUGUGUGUGUGUGUGUGUGUGUGUGUGUGUGUGUGGGUGUGUGUGGGUGUGUGUAUGUGUGUGUGUUCCAGGCAUGGCAGCCAUUCUUGUAUCUGCUAUUUAAAAUAACAGCAGAGCUUCAUAAUUGUGGUCAUUAGAGUUGUUCUUAUCAUAAUUAAAACUGAAAUUCAAUA